rnacentral:tmRNA from 1 species
GGGGCUGACAUGGAUUUGACAGCAGGAUGGAAUGUUACGUAAGCACGCAGAGAGUCGCUGAUCGCUCUCUUAAAUCCAUGGUCUCCAACAAUUAUCUGGCGAAAACACUUACGCUCUCGCUGCUUGAUUGAAGUAUAGUAGAUCAGCUUAUCUCGGCACCAGGUGCUGAGACGGGACAUCACUCAGAGACUCCGCCCCAAAGCGCUCUGGUAUAGUGGUGCAGCACACUUGGGGAUAGUCACAUCAGGCCUCGCUGACGCUGACGAAACUUUAGAGGCUAAGGCAUCAAUCGGUGGUCCGGGUCUUGUUGAUGCUCGAAAACCAAAGGCCGGAAUAAGCGUGUAGAAAGCGUAGGAUUUCCCUGUUUGGACGAGGGUUCAAUUCCCUCCAGCUCCACUU